GUGAGAACUCAGAAGACGUAACAUGUGAGUUCCCUUCCAACUGGAGGAACCAGAAAGAAGAGGUCAUAUGAGGACACAGCAGGAAGGUGGCAUUCUGCAAGCCAGAAAGAAAGUUCUAACCAGAACCCAACCAUGUUGGUACCCUGAUCUUGGACUUCUAGCCUCCAGAACGGUUGAUCAGAUUUCUCUGAAAAAGACCCCUUCAGUCUCCUGCCCAGAGGAGGGAACAGGUCUGAUUACCAGUGUUCCUGGGGGAGAGGGUUGGACCGGUGAGUGAAUCUAAGUACACUGUGAAUGCCUUUACUUAAUCUUUUUGUUUUUGUCAUGGACCCUGUCUGCUCAACUGUGC
rnacentral:lncRNA from 1 species